rnacentral:rRNA from 1 species
CCCUAUCCUCUGCGCGCGCAGGAGACUUGAGAAGGCCUGUCCCUAGUACGAGAGGACCGGGACGGACGAACCUCUGGUGUGCCAGUUGUCCCGCCCGGGGCACGGCUGGUUGGCUACGUUCGGGAAGGGUAACCGCUGAAAGCAUCUAAGCGGGAAACCAUCUUCAAGAUGAGGUCUCCACAAGGACACCUCGGUGUUCUUGGUAGGCCCCCAGCAGACUACUGGGUUGAUAGGCCAGAAGUGGAAGACCGGCAACGGUUGACUGAGCUGACUGGUACUAAUAGGCCAACACAAACAACAACA